rnacentral:rRNA from 1 species
AACAAACGCUGGCGGCGUGCCUAAUACAUGCAAGUCGAACGGGGAAAGCUUUCGGGUGAGUACUAGUGGCGCACGGGUGAGUAACGCGUGGAUAAUCUGCCUUAGAGUGGGGGAUAACUAGUCGAAAGAUUAGCUAAUACCGCAUAAGACCACAAGAACUGCGGUUCAAGGGGUCAAAGGUUUUUCGCUCUAAGAUGAGUCCGCGUAAGAUUAGCUAGUUGGUGAGGUAAUGGCUCACCAAGGCGACGAUCUUUAACUGGUCUGAGAGGAUGAUCAGUCACACUGGAACUGAGACACGGUCCAGACUCCUACGGGAGGCAGCAGUAGGGAAUAUUGCACAAUGGAGGAAACUCUGAUGCAGCGACGCCGCGUGAGUGAUGAAGGCCUUCGGGUCGUAAAGCUCUGUCGCAAGGGAAUAACACAAUGAAUGUACCUUGCAAGAAAGGAUCGGCUAACUUCAUGCCAGCAGCCCGCCGUAA